CACAGUUCUGCAUCCUCGGUUGGUGGCUUGUUCUCACCAGCGAAGAGCAAAGGACGCCAUUGACUUCCUUCCAGCUUUCUUGAGUUUCUGUUCUGCCACAACCGAAGCUGAAGUUUAUAGUCAGGCAUGUGAGGACUGACGACGAGGCUAAUAGGCAGGAAUGGGUGCAGAAAUGUAACGGUAAACUUAAAAGACAGAGGUUGCAUGCAAUGUGCAUGUAUGCAUCACACGAGAUGGACAUCGUACGAGUGCCUACAUGUGUUGAGAUUGCAUUCAGAAGUGUGGACGUUAACCACAUAAAUAUGGCCUGAGGAACUAGAAGCUAUAUAAGACAGGUGGUGGAAGACAAAGAAUAUAAGAUGGCGCUUGAAGGGAUAUGAUCUCGACGGGGAUGAAGGUGACAUGAUGGUUAUACCCAGGUUUGAGGCCACCAGAUGGUUUGGAACCCUACACCCCGCCUAUCUAUCUUCAUUGAUCAAUGAGAGAAUUAUAAUGUUGUAGAACUAAUCUUGGGAGCUAGGUUAUGGGCAUGUUGCUUCACACAUAUUAUUGUCUUUGACAUUGGCCCGCUUGUCCCUUAUAUAGGUAG